GAUGAGAACCUCCGGGGGCAAGAGGUUCGACCCGAGCGAAGCGAGAGAACGUUGCGUCAGCAACGGCCCGCAGGGCGAGCCACGCAGUGGCGAGUCAUCCUCUAUCACCGACCA
rnacentral:sRNA from 4 species